rnacentral:piRNA from 1 species
UGGUAAUCUGUAACCUGGACAGGAAA